GCCAGAUGGACGUGCGGUGACCCAGGGGAGGGAAUUGUGGCCAAGGACAGCGCUUGGUGUUGGCUCCACUUGGCCCAUUGUCUCCCGGGCACGUAGCUAAACUACAGUUCCCAGCUUUCCCUGCAUAUAACCAUGUGAUCUACUCUGGCCAAUGGAAUGUGAGCAGAAGGCACCCAGCGCGGUGAAUGGGGGCGGGGGUCCUAUCCUGAGACCCAACAACACAGUGGGUUGUCCAAGGCCCUUGGGUGUCUGAGUCAUUGCCUGGAGAAUUGGGAGGGGGUCCCGGUCAGGAAUGCCCGUGGGAGACCUUGCUUGAGCAAGAGAGACAUUUUUGUUGUGUUAGGUGUGGAGAUGUGGAGCAUGUUUCUUACGCAGCUAGCAGCUGAUGACUAAUACAGUAAGCUUUCCUGGAAGCUCCGGCAGACCUGUCUGCACAGCUCCUUGACCAGAGCUGGACUGCAUGCUGUCCCCUCUGUCCCCUGCCUCGUCUGCAGGAUCUGCAUUCCCUUCGUCCCUUCGAGGUGUCCCCUGAUCUCUGCUACAGAAGCCUUUAAGACUCCUCAGCCCUCCUGCAGCCUGUGCAGAGCUCAGUGUCCAUCCCUUUGUGGCUUAAAUCAACUAAGCGAGAAGAUCGAAGAGUGAAGACCUGGGAUUGAUGGCCGUCCACAUGUAGAAACAGAGAAAGGGAAGGUCAAGUUCUCGGUGUCGG
rnacentral:lncRNA from 1 species